AGUGAACGCUGGCGGUAGGCCUAACACAUGCAAGUCGAACGGCAGCACAGUAAGAGCUUGCUCUUACGGGUGGCGAGUGGCGGACGGGUGAGGAAUACAUCGGAAUCUACUUUUUCGUGGGGGAUAACGUAGGGAAACUUACGCUAAUACCGCAUACGACCUGCGGGUGAAAGCAGGGGAUCUUCGGACCUUGCGCGAUUGAAUGAGCCGAUGUCGGAUUAGCUAGUUGGCGGGGUAAAGGCCCACCAAGGCGACGAUCCGUAGCUGGUCUGAGAGGAUGAUCAGCCACACUGGAACUGAGACACGGUCCAGACUCCUACGGGAGGCAGCAGUGGGGAAUAUUGGACAAUGGGCGCAAGCCUGAUCCAGCCAUACCGCGUGGGUGAAGAAGGCCUUCGGGUUGUAAAGCCCUUUUGUUGGGAAAGAAAAGCAGCAGGUUAAUACCCGGCUGUUCUGACGGUACCCAAAGAAUAAGCACCGGCUAACUUCGUG
rnacentral:rRNA from 1 species